rnacentral:rRNA from 1 species
GACGAAGGGGGGCUAGCGUUGUUCGGAAUUACUGGGCGUAAAGCGCGUGUAGGCGGUUGCCCAAGUCGGGUGUGAAAGCCUUGAGCUCAACUCAAGAAAUGCACUCGGUACUGGGUGACUAGAGGGCCGGAGAGGAUAGUGGAAUUCCCAGUGUAGUGGUGAAAUACGUAGAGAUUGGGAAGAACACCAGUGGCGAAGGCGGCUAUCUGGACGGUUUCUGACGCUAAGACGCGAAAGCGUGGGGAGCAAACAGG